AGAUGAAAACCCUGCAGACUCUGGAGGAAAUAAUGCUGAGUAGUGAGACACAGACCACUGGAACAAUGUUUUAACUUGUAAAACUGAACACAACAUUUGCUAUUGUAAUGUUGGUGGACAAGCUGCUUCAACCAUCUGACCACCUAACAUAUAUAUCGCUUACUGCUUAUCACUGCAUUCAGGGAAUAUAAAAGUGAAUUCGACACAAAUAUUGUCUUCAAGAAGGCACAAUGAGAAUAUGAAUGGGUCCUCCCAUUUGGCCACCUGAGAUCUUGAUGAAGAUACUACCCUGAACGAGUUGACAAGAAAGGAAAAAUUUUAGUGGGAGUGAAAGA